rnacentral:rRNA from 1 species
UACGUAGGGUCCGAGCGUUGUCCGGAAUUACUGGGCGUAAAGAGCUCGUAGGCGGCUUGUCGCGUCGACUGUGAAAACCCGCGGCUCAACCGCGGGCCUGCAGUCGAUACGGGCAGGCUAGAGUUCGGUAGGGGAGACUGGAAUUCCUGGUGUAGCGGUGAAAUGCGCAGAUAUCAGGAGGAACACCAAUUGCGAAGGCAGCUCGCUGGGACGUAACUGACGCUGAGACGCGAAAGCGUGGGGAGCAAACAGG